UACUCGUUAAGGCUGAGCUGUGAUGGGGAGAAGACAUUGUGUCUUCGAGUCGUUGAUUUCACACUGCCGAGAAAAGCCUCUAGAUAGAAAAUAGGUGCCCGUACCGCAAACCGACACAGGUAGUCAAGAUGAGAAUUCUAAGGUGAGCGAGCGAACUCUCGUUAAGGAACUCGGCAAAAUGACCCCGUAACUUCGGGAGAAGGGGUGCUCUUUAGGGUUAACGCCCAGAAGAGCCGCAGUGAAUAGGCCCAAGCGACUGUUUAUCAAAAACACAGGUCUCUGCUAAACCGUAAGGUGAUGUAUAGGGGCUGACGCCUGCCCGGUGCUGGAAGGUUAAGAGGAGUGGUUAGCUUCUGCGAAGCUACGAAUCGAAGCCCCAGUAAACGGCGGCCGUAACUAUAACGGUCCUAAGGUAGCGAAAUUCCUUGUCGGGUAAGUUCCGACCCGCACGAAAGGCGUAACGAUUUGGGCACUGUCUCAACGAGAGACUCGGUGAAAUCAUAGUACCUGUGAAGAUGCAGGUUACCCGCGACAGGACGGAAAGACCCCGUGGAGCUUUACUGUAGCCUGAUAUUGAAAUUCGGCACAGCUUGUACAGGAUAGGUAGGAGCCUUUGAAACGUGAGCGCUAGCUUACGUGGAGGCGCUGGUGGGAUACUACCCUAGCUGUGUUGGCUUUCUAACCCGCACCACUUAUCGUGGUGGGAGACAGUGUCAGGCGGGCAGUUUGACUGGGGCGGUCGCCUCCUAAAAGGUAACGGAGGCGCUCAAAGGUUCCCUCAGAAUGGUUGGAAAUCAUUCAUAGAGUGUAAAGGCAUAAGGGAGCUUGACUGCGAGACCUACAAGUCGAGCAGGGUCGAAAGACGGACUUAGUGAUCCGGUGGUUCCGCAUGGAAGGGCCAUCGCUCAACGGAUAAAAGCUACCCCGGGGAUAACAGGCUUAUCUCCCCCAAGAGUUCACAUCGACGGGGAGGUUUGGCACCUCGAUGUCGGCUCAUCGCAUCCUGGGGCUGUAGUCGGUCCCAAGGGUUGGGCUGUUCGCCCAUUAAAGCGGUACGCGAGCUGGGUUCAGAACGUCGUGAGACAGUUCGGUCCCUAUCCGUCGUGGGCGUAGGAAAUUUGAGAGGAGCUGUCCUUAGUACGAGAGGACCGGGAUGGACAUACCUCUGGUGUACCAGUUGUCGUGCCAACGGCAUAGCUGGGUAGCUAUGUGUGGACGGGAUAAGUGCUGAAAGCAUCUAAGCAUGAAGCCCCCCUCAAGAUGAGAUUUCCCAACUUCGGUUAUAAGAUCCCUCAAAGAUGAUGAGGUUAAUAGGUUCGAGGUGGAAGCAUGGUGACAUGUGGAGCUGACGAAUACUAAUCGAUCGAAGACUUAAUCAA
rnacentral:rRNA from 1 species